rnacentral:lncRNA from 1 species
AAUAGAAUCUAAGUUUGCAACAAAUGAGUCAAUACGAUGUCGUUUGGCAUUGUUGUACUUAACAAAACAGUAUGUAUUAUUUAGAAGUUAUUUGACAUCGAUAGUUGAUAUGUAUAAUGGUAUGAAAAUUAUAAAAGUGACAAGUACCGGAAAAUUAAGAAGAUACUUAUUUUUUUGUAAUCCUUAUUCUAUUUGCAUUAUAGGUAAAUGGUCAAGAACAUAUCUACUGUAUGAAGACAUAACACAAAUAUAUAUAGGAUAUAAAAACACGCCACAAUUUGCAUUAUAUGAAGAGAGAUACAAAGAUAGUUCGGAACGUUCAAAUUAUAUAGUUUUAAAAACUACAAUGAGAGAUUUUAAUUUUAUAUUUCUUAACGAUGUAGAUAUUAUAAAGAAAUUAAAGAAAUAUUCACUUUUAACAAAAAUAAAAACGUUUUUAACAAAAAAGAAUCCUGCAAUAGAACAGAAUAUUACUGUUGAAAUCACAGAUAAUUCUAAAUUAAAUCCAAACACUAAUAGUACUUUGAAUUCGGAAAAUGUUAGUAGUGAUAAUAGUUUGCUUAAUGUAUUGAAUAAAAAAGUGUGUACUAACGAAGUUUCUGAUGCCAGUACUAAGAAUACUGAGACAAAACAGGAGACAACUGUUGAAAUCACUGAUAGUGCUUUGAAUUCUGAAUAUUUGAAUAAUAAUGACAGUGCUCUCAAGGUUGGUAAAAAAAAAGUAAGUGUUAUGGUAGGUUCUAAUGCGAGUACUGCUGAUUGUAACGAGAAUAAGGAAGUUAGUACUGUUGCACAAAAUGUUUCUACCGGUAUGCAUGAUAAUAGGAAUUAUAAAGGAAUACUAAAAAAAUAUAAUAUAGUAAACACAUUUUGUGAUUAUUUUGAGUUGACAUUAAAACAAUCAAAAACGACAAAUAUUAAUAUCACUACUAAAGAAAUAAAGGAAGUUAUUAAAAAAAAUGAUCUCAUAUUUUUUAGGAAAUAUAAUUUUAAAAACACAAAAAUUAACUCACUUUUCUUUUUUUUACAAAUACAAAUGGAUAUAUGUGGGCCAGAGCUUUGGUUUACAGCUAAAUUUGAUGAAUAUCUUUUUACACAUUUGAAUUAGAAAAGCUUUAAAGAGUUGUUUACAUAUUUUAUUUUUAUUUUUUUUGUGUUAUAAUUUAUGUAAUUUAGUAUGCAUAUACAUAUAAAUGCAAUAAAAAAAAAAAAAA